rnacentral:rRNA from 1 species
GACGUAGGUGGCGAACGUUAUCCGGAAUUAUUGGGCGUAAAGGAUGCGUAGAUGGUUUAGUAAGUUAUCGGUGGCAAAUCGAGGCUCAACCUCGUGGAAGUCGGUAAUACUGCUAUGCUAGAGGAUAGGAGAGGUUAACGGAACUCCCUGUGGAGCGGUGAAAUGCGUAGAUAUAGGGAAGAACACCAAUUAGGCGAAGGCAGUUAACUAGUCUAUUCCUGACAUUGAGGCAUGAAAGCGUGGGGAGCAAAACGG